rnacentral:rRNA from 1 species
GAUGAACGCUGGCGGCGUGCCUAAUACAUGCAAGUCGAGCGAACAGACGAGGAGCUUGCCCCUCUGACGUUAGCGGCGGACGGGUGAGUAACACGUGGAUAACCUACCUAUAGGACUGGGAUAACUUCGGGAAACCGGAGCUAAUACCGGAUAAUAUAUUGAACCGCAUGGUUCAAUAGUGAAAGACGGUUUUGCUGUCACUUAUAGAUGGAUCCGCGCCGCAUUAGCUAGUUGGUAAGGUAACGGCUUACCAAGGCAACGAUGCGUAGCCGACCUGAGAGGGUGAUCGGCCACACUGGAACUGAGACACGGUCCAGACUCCUACGGGAGGCAGCAGUAGGGAAUCUUCCGCAAAGGGCGAAAGCCUGACGGAGCAACGCCGCGUGAGUGAUGAAGGUCUUCGGAUCGUAAAACUCUGUUAUUAGGGAAGAACAAAUGUGUAAGUAACUAUGCACGUCUUGACGGUACCUAAUCAGAAAGCCACGGCUAACUACGUG